rnacentral:rRNA from 1 species
UACGUAGGGGGCUAGCGUUGUCCGGAUUUAUUGGGCGUAAAGCGCGUGUAGGCGGCCAGGUAGGUCCGCUGUGAAAACUCGAGGCUCAACCUCGAGAUGUCGGCGGAAACCAUCUGGCUAGAGUCCGGAAGAGGAGAAUGGAAUUCCCGGUGUAGCGGUGAAAUGCGCAGAUAUCGGGAAGAACACCCGUGGCGAAGGCGGUUCUCUGGGACGGUACUGACGCUGAGACGCGAAAGCGUGGGGAGCGAACAGG